rnacentral:rRNA from 1 species
UACGAAGGGGCUAGCGUUGCUCGGAAUUACUGGGCGUAAAGCGCACGUAGGCGGAUUUGUAAGUCAGGGGUGAAAUCCCGGGGCUCAACCUCGGAACUGCCUUUGAUACUGCAAUCUCGAGUCCGGAAGAGGUGAGUGGAAUUCCUAGUGUAGAGGUGAAAUUCGUAGAUAUUAGGAAGAACACCAGUGGCGAAGGCGGCUCACUGGUCCGGUACUGACGCUGAGGUGCGAAAGCGUGGGAGCAACAGGG